UACAGAGGGUGCAAGCGUUGUUCGGAAUUAUUGGGCGUAAAGCGCGUGUAGGCGGCUUUGCAAGUCGGGUGUGAAAGCCCUCGGCUCAACCGAGGAAGUGCGCCCGAAACUGCAGAGCUUGAGUACCGGAGAGGAUGGUGGAAUUCCCCAAGUAGAGGUGAAAUUCGUAGAUAUGGGGAGGAACACCGGUGGCGAAGGCGACCAUCUGGACGGAUACUGACGCUGAGACGCGAAAGCGUGGGUAGCAAACAGG
rnacentral:rRNA from 1 species